GAGCCAGUAUGGUGGAGUGGUUUGAGUGUUGGACUACAAUUCUGGAGACCAGGGUUCAAAUCCCUGCUGGGACA